CCACCCCUGCCCUCAGCCUCCUUCAAAGUGGCCGCUGGGGCUGGGGUCUGUCUUUGCAGAGGUGCCAGGCCACAUGCCCUGCCCACCUCUACCAGCUAUGCCGCCUCUGAAGUUCCUCCAGCGGCACUGAGGAGGGGCCCUGUGGUCGAGGGUGCAGUUAAACGAGGCCCGACCGGGUAGUUGAGCUCAGCUUGGCUGUACUUGUCUUCCUUGGACCUGCUGGGCACCCCCAGGAGGGCCAUGGUUAUAGACACAGGUUCGGAGUCAGCCCCAGCUUGAAUCCUGCUUCUGCCACCAGCCCUGUGACCUGAAGCAAGUGAGUCCCAAUCACCUCAUCUGUGCACUGAGAUGCAGAGUGGCUAUUUCUACUGCAUGUGGCUGUUGUGGGGACUGGGCGAGAGAGAUCCCCAAUAGGUGCUAUGAUUUUUCUCCCUGCUUUGCCCUCCAGCCAUACCCGGAAGCCCCCGAGUUUUGAUCUGGCCCAGGUAGACCGAUCAUUUCCUCCAAGUCCCCCUUCCCUGAGGAGCUGGCGUGCUUCAGUCUCACAGGCUGGAGCGCAAUGGCAUGAUCUCGGCUCACCGCAACCUCC
rnacentral:lncRNA from 1 species